GGACUUUUAACUGUCUGACAGACACCCUAGAAGUCUAUUGACAAGGAAAGGUGAGGGACAGAGAUGAAGUGAUGGAAUAAAAUUGGGACGGUGAGAGAGAGAGAGAGAGAGGAAACGAGCACACGCCCAACGGUUUCCAGCGGGAAAGAGUGAAGUAGGACCCAGUUGCCAUGGCGACGCCAUCGGCUUCCUGUCGAAGGCGCUCGCCUCCGCCAGCGCGUGAGCUCCCCAGCGUAACAAACGCACGUAGAGGCUGAUAUCUGUGUGGGGCGUGACCGGCAUGGCGAGAGGAUCCGACUGUGGCGCCGAUUCCAC
ensembl:lncRNA